CCUACGGGGCGCAGCAGUGGGGAAUCUUCCGCAAUGGGCGAAAGCCUGACGGAGCAACGCCGCGUGUUCGAAUGAAGGCCUUCGGGUUGUAAAGAUCUGUUGCCAGGGACGAAUAAGCCAUGCGAAUAGUUUGGUGUAUGACGGUACCUGUUUAGAAAGCUCCGGCUAACUACGUGCCAGCAGCCGCGGUAAUACGUAGGGAGCAAGCGUUGUCCGGAAUUAAUGGGCGUUAAGGGCUCGUAGGUGGGCGCUUAGGUCAGGUGUGAAAACUCUGGGCUCAACCUGGAG
rnacentral:rRNA from 1 species